rnacentral:rRNA from 1 species
UACGAGGGGGGCGAGCGUUGUUCGGAAUUAUUGGGCGUAAAGGGCGCGUAGGCGGUUGGAUAAGUCUUGUGUGAAAUCUUCGGGCUCAACUCGAAGUCUGCACGAGAAACUAUCUGGCUUGAGUGUGGGAGAGGUGAGUGGAAUUCCUGGUGUAGCGGUGAAAUGCGUAGAUAUCAGAGGAACACCUGCGGCGAAGGCGGGUUGCUGGGCU